UUACACAUGCAAGUCGAACGGCAGCGCGGGGCAACCUGGCGGCGAGUGGCGAACGGGUGAGUAAUAUCUCGGAACGUGCCCUGGAGUGGGGGAUAACGCAGCGAAAGUUGCGCUAAUACCGCAUACGAUCUAAGGAUGAAAGCGGGGGAUUCGCAAGAACCUCGUGCUCCUGGAGCGGCCGAUAUCUGAUUAGCUAGUUGGUGGGGUAAAGGCCUACCAAGGCAUCGAUCAGUAGCUGGUCUGAGAGGACGACCAGCCACACUGGAACUGAGACACGGUCCAGACUCCUACGGGAGGCAGCAGUGGGGAAUUUUGGACAAUGGGCGAAAGCCUGAUCCAGCAAUGCCGCGUGAGUGAAGAAGGCCUUCGGGUUGUAAAGCUCUUUUGUCAGGGAAGAAACGGUGAAGGCUAAUAUCCUUUGCUAAUGACGGUACCUGAAGAAUAAGCACCGGCUAACUACGUGCCAGCAGCCGCGGUAAUACGUAGGGUGCAAGCGUUAAUCGGAAUUACUGGGCGUAAAGCGUGCGCAGGCGGUUUUGUAAGUCUGUCGUGAAAUCCCCGGGCUCAACCUGGGAAUUGCGAUGGAGACUGCAAGGCUAGAAUCUGGCAGAGGGGGGUAGAAUUCCACGUGUAGCAGUGAAAUGCGUAGAGAUGUGGAGGAACACCGAUGGCGAAGGCAGCCCCCUGGGUCAAGAUUGACGCUCAUGCACGAAAGCGUGGGGAGCAAACAGGAUUAGAUACCCUGGUAGUCCACGCCCUAAACGAUGUCUACUAGUUG
rnacentral:rRNA from 1 species